rnacentral:lncRNA from 1 species
GUUGUUGUUAUUUCUUGCUCCUUUUCCUGUUCUGUUAAAAUUGCCUUUGUCUCAACCCACGAGUUUUGCCUUUUUUAUUUCGAUUUUCCCCUCCCGGCCACCUGGCCGUGGGGACUCUGUUCUGCGCCAGCGGCUGCACGUGGUCCUUUGUUGCCGUCUGAGGCCAAACCACGACAGUCCUUUUUGGUGCCCAACGUGGGGCACUCGGAGGGUUGAGAUAACGACAGAUCUGACCAGAGCGUGUUAAAAGGAAUUUUGUAUCUGUAUUUAUUGUAUUAGUUGCUGGGCACAAUGUUGCUUCGUUUGGUUUCAUGGCUGUGUUAUGUGAACUCUUACAUGCUCUAUGUACUCCCCGUGAUGAUCUUUAUCACUUCUGGGAGAGGGAUCAGGAUUAUAAUUUUGCUGUCCUGUGCGAUAUCAACUUAUGAUAUGAUAGCAUCACUGUUCAGAUGGUUUUGUUGGGGCGUUUAUUCGGCACUGCUUUCCUGCCCAUAUCUCGGGGAAUUUAUUAAUAAACACACUGAGUCUAUGAGGGAAGCAGGGGGGGAUAUUUUCCCCAGCUCUUUCACCUCCUUUUUCUCUUUCGUGCUGGCUAUGCCAGUUUUUGAGAAUUUUGAAUACCCUUGGGACAUGCAAACCAGUUUGGUCCUACUGCUAGGUCUCCUGAAUGUGUUUCAGAUUUUGUUUAGGGUUAAGCAACUACUUAAGACUACCACCAAGAGAUCUGCCCCGAGGCUGGAGAGUCAUGGGUGGCAUGGCAUGUGGGAGAACAUGGGCAGGUAUCUAGAGAGUUUUUCACCUCCAAUGGUCUGGGAUUUCACCACUGAACAAUUACAGGACCCUGAUAAGGUGAUAGAAUAUUUGAAAGGAAAAUGCUGUGGCUAUUCCAGAGAGGCACAACUCACUGCGUUGUGCUGGGCCUUGGCCAGUAUCUACCAAGCAUUGCUCAAUGUUGUGCAGCAUCCUCAGGGGGAAGAGAUGGAAACCAGGCCGACAGACACUGCGGCUGCUCCAACCCCUGCAACCAACGCUGCGGCUGCUCCAACCCCUGCGGUAGACACUGCAGCUGCUCCAACUCCUGCAGCAGGUGCUGUGGCUACCCCAACCCCAGUGACAGGCACUGCAACUGAACCAGAAAACCAACCUGUGCCCGUAUCAGUUGCCCCUAUCCAGAAGAAGAAAUACAACAAGAAAUCAGUUCGCUUAGUGAGGGAUGACAAUGAACCAGGGUCAUCACGAGAACAAGAGGAAGAGGCAGAACUAGAGAUAAUCACUCGAUCCCUGUCCCUGAGUGAGCUGCGGGACAUGCGGAAAGAUUUCAGCCGACUUCCAGGCGAGCACAUUGUCACCUGGCUGCUCCGGUGCUGGGAUAACGGAGCCAGUAGCUUGGAAUUGGAGGGUAGGGAAGCCAGGCAGCUGGGAUCUCUGUCUAGAGAGGGGGGCAUUGACAAGGCAAUUGGGAAGAAA